rnacentral:rRNA from 1 species
AGUGAACGCUGGCGGUAGGCCUAACACAUGCAAGUCGAACGGCAGCACAGUAAGAGCUUGCUCUUACGGGUGGCGAGUGACGGGCGGGUGAGGAAUACAUCGGAAUCUACUUUUUCGUGGGGGAUAACGUAGGGAAACUUACGCUAAUACCGCAUACGACCUACGGGUGAAAGCAGGGGAUCUUCGGACCUUGCGCGAUUGAAUGAGCCGAUGUCGGAUUAGCUAGUUGGCGGGGUAAAGGCCCACCAAGGCGACGAUCCGUAGCUGGUCUGAGAGGAUGAUCAGCCACACUGGAACUGAGACACGGUCCAGACUCCUACGGGAGGCAGCAGUGGGGAAUAUUGGACAAUGGGCGCAAGCCUGAUCCAGCCAUACCGCGUGGGUGAAGAAGGCCUUCGGGUUGUAAAGCCCUUUUGUUGGGAAAGAAAAGCAGCAGGUUAAUACCCCGCUGUUCUGACGGUACCCAAAGAAUAAGCACCGGCUAACUUCGUG